rnacentral:tRNA from 1 species
GGGCCCUUAGCUCAGUCGGUUAGAGCAGCAGACUCAUAAUCUGCGGGUCGUAGGUUCGAGUCCUACAGGGCCCACUA